CUCUCGGGGCCCCAAGACUGCAGGAAGAAACAAGUAUUGUAGAAGCCAAAACCCCAAGGCAAGGGAGAAGCUAUUGAAAGACAAAAACCUCUAUAUGGAAAUAUAUCACCAGCAGCACAAGUGGACUACAGCCUCAGAAAUGUCCUCACCGUCCAGCUUCAUGACAAGCAGACUGGCUGUUGGCAGAAGGCACCCAGCUCUGCUUCUGCGCAUAAGGAACUGAGGCCCCACGUGGUGAAGUAACAGAGCUGAUUCUAGAGUCCAGGUGCUCUCAGUGUCAGCCUCUGCCAUUCUGACCACGCUGCACUCAGAUCUUGCUCUACUCUCUGGAGUUUGUCCACAUCACAGUUUUCUGGUAUGCAGCUCAUCAGACAAUUUUUACCUGAAUCCACACAUGACAAGAGACCAUUUGGGUAAUGUACAUUAUGGGAAGAGAACAGAGUCUCAGUGAAGAUCAUUAGUUUCCCUAGCAACAUAGAUGCCAGGACUGGCUGGCUCUGGUCCUAGCCUAGACUCAGAAAUCCUAAGCCACCAGACCAAUUCUAGAUUAACAAGUAAGGUGACUUCUGAGUAACUAAUAUUUUCAUUGAGAUUUGAUGAUAAGCAGCAAAGCUCAAACAAAAGUCCAGAGUUAGUGUUGGCAGGGUGAGGUGGCUCAUGCCUGUAAUCCCAGCACUUUGGGAGGCUGAGGUGGGAGGAUCACUUGAGCCC